UUAGAUUCAGAAGUUCUUCACCAUCCAAAACUUCGAUUGCUUCUCCCGAUGGAUCCUUUUGCGUCAUUAACCAUUGCAAAAUUUGAUCUUCGUCGUAGAGAUCUCCUUCGAUGGCACACAAGUAAUAUAAGAUUAACAGCGAAUAUCACCGGUUCUUUCGAUGUCAGCUUGAAAAAGAGGAUUCCUGGUAAUGCAAAUACUCCGUAAUGUUUGGCAAGUUCCUUGUCGUCGAUCUUUACAAAUUUGAUUCCGGCACUAUCAGCUUCAUCGUCGAUGUGCUCGAUCUCUGCCAGAACUCUACUACAUUGUUUACAGUCGGUACUGUCUAAACAUACAAAUAUAGUGAUCAAAUUGGAUCGGUUAACCAAUCAAGAAUCUCUUCCUCGUCAUCUAUAUCACCAUCGUAAUUCGUACUUUUACCUUUCCGGAAAUAUGUUAUACCAGCAGCUUCGUCGUCGAUCAAUUCGACGUGCCUGAGUACUCGUGGUGUUUCUGGAUCUUCUUCUUUGUCUGUGAAUAAUACAUUCGAGAAAAAUGGCAGAGGAAAUAUUUAUCUAUUUAUUGUUUUAACAAAUAUUCACAAAGAUCCUCCAACUGUUGUAUAUAAUGGAACAAAAUGAAGAGACGACAAGUUAAAAAGUGUAUGUUAAAAAGCGCGGGAUAAGGAUCGGAGAGUAUGAAAAUGGAAAAAAGAAAAAAAAAGAAAAGGACAAUUGCAAAAUUUGUGUCACAGUAAAUUAAAGCUAUCAUCCUGAAUUAUGUUGUUUUUUUUUUUUUUCAGAGAUUUUUGACUUGUAAUCAGGCUUGUAUUAUAGUUUUACGAGUUAGUCUUGUUGUUUGACGAUGAUUUGAUAAAUGAAACGAAAGAAAAGAAAAAAAAAAAAGAAAUUCAUCUAAAACAUCUGGAAAUAGUGCAAUUGAUAUAUAAUAAUCUUUUUUAAUAAAAUAUUAAAAAAAAAAAAAAAAUAUUUA